UACAGAGGGUGCAAGCGUUAAUCGGAAUUACUGGGCGUAAAGCGUGCGUAGACGGUUAUGUAAGUCAGGUGUGAAAGCCCCGGGCUCAACCUGGGAAUUGCAUUUGAGACUGCAUAGCUAGGGUGCGGAAGAGGGAAGCGGAAUUUCCGGUGUAGCGGUGAAAUGCGUAGAUAUCGGAAGGAACACCAGUGGCGAAGGCGGCUACCUGGACAGGUACUGACGCUGAGGCGCGAAAGCUAGGGGAGCAAACAGG
rnacentral:rRNA from 1 species